rnacentral:lncRNA from 1 species
CCAACUAGUUUAUCUGGACCUAUCAUUUAACGAAUUUGUUGGUCCAAUCCCAUCUCUACAUAUGUCCAAAAAUCUCACCCAUCUAGACCUCUCAUGCAACGCUCUGCCCGGUGCGAUCUCAUCCACAGACUGGGAACAUCUCUCCAAUCUUGUUUAUGUUGACUUGAGGAACAAUUCAUCUCUCCAAUCUUGUUUAUGUUGACUUGAGUGGAAGCAUCCCAAGAUCUCUGUUUUCACUUCCAAUGCUACAGCAGCUUCAGCUUGCCAACAACAAAUUUGGUGGCCCAAUUCCCGAAUUUUCAAAUGCAUCAUACUCUGCACUUAGUACGCUUGAUUUAAGUGCCAAUAGAUGAGAAGGGCCUAUUCCCAUGUCCAUAUUUGAACUCAAAAAUCUUAAAAUCCUUAUGCUUUCUCCUAACAAGCUCAAUAGCACUGUACAGCUAGCUGCAAUUCAGAGGCUUGGGAAUCUUACUAGACUCGAGCUUUCAUACAACAACUUGACAGUGAAUGCCAGUAGUGAUUCUUCCUUCCCCUCACAGGUUAGCAGACUGAGAUUGGCUUCUUGCAAACUGAGGGUGAUUCCUGAUCUUAAGAAUCAAUCAAAACUAUCUUACUUGGAUCUUUCAGACAAUCAAAUAUAUGGGGAAAUACCAAAUUGGGUUUGGGAAAUUGGGAAUGGUAAUCUUGUACAUCUAAAUCUUUCACACAAUCUCCUGGCCAGUCUGCAAAGACCUUAUAAUAUUUCUGAUCUCACUUGCAUGACUGUCCUAGACCUACAUUCCAACCAGCUCCAAGGAAACAUACCUUAACCACCACCAUAUGCAGCCCUUGUAGAUUACUCCAACAAUAAUUUUACUUCUUCCAUCCCAGAUGACAUUGGUAAUUCCAUGAACUUCACUGGCUUUUUUUCCCUUUCAAGCAAUUCCAUCACAGGAGUCAUCCCGGAAACUAUUUGCAGAGCAAAAAAUCUAUUAGUUCUUGACCUGUCAAAGAAUAAGUUGAGUGGAAAAAUGCCAACUUGUUUGAUCAAAAUGAGUGAGAUUCUUGGUGUUCUAAAUUUGAGGGGAAACAGCCUCAGUGGCACUCUAUCUGUCACAUUUCCGGGAAAUUGUGGAUUACAAACACUUGAUCUCAACGAAAAUCAACUAGGUGGAACAGUUCCAAAAUCCUUGGCCAAUUGCAGAAAGUUGGAGGUUCUAGACCUCGGGAAUAACAAGAUCAGAGAUACCUUUCCAUGCUGGCUAAAGAAUAUCUCAAGUUUGCGUGUCCUAGUUUUGCGAUCGAACAGCUUUUAUGGGAGUAUUACUUGUCGAGAGAACGAUGACUCCUGGCCAAUGCUUCAAAUUGUUGACAUAGCUUCGAACAACUUUGGCGGAAGAGUCCCCCAGAAAUGCAUAACUUCCUGGAAGGCAAUGAUGUCUGAUGAAGAUGAAGCACAAUCAAACUUCAAACACCUCCAUUUUGAGUUCCUGAAGUUAAGUAAAAUGUACUAUCAGGAUGUGGUGACAGUUACCAGCAAAAGUCGAGAGAUGGAAUUAGUGAAGAUCCUAAGUAUAUUCACAUCCAUUGACUUUUCAAUGAACAAUUUUGAAGGGCCAAUACCAGAAGAGAUAGGACGACUCAAAUCGAUUUACGGUCUGAACUUGUCACAAAAUGCUUUUACGGGCCCCAUCCCAUCAGCUAUUGGAAACUUGCAACAGCUUGGGUCUUUAGACAUCUCAAUGAAUCAUCUGAGUGGGCAGAUCCCCACAUCGCUUGCAAACAUAUCUUUUCUAUCCUUCCUGAAUCUUUCACACAAUGACCUAGUGGGAGAGAUUCCAACAGGUACUCAACUUCAAUCAUUUUUGCCAAAUUCUUUCGAAGGUAACGACGGCUUAUGCGGUCCUCCGUUGAAUGUUUGCCAAACAAAUUCCAGCAAGGCACUUCCUUCAGCAGCAGCUUCAACAGAUGAAAUCGAUUGGUUUUUCAUAGCGAUGGCAAUUGGAUUUGUGGUAGGCUUUGGAUCAGUUGUUGCACCUCUAAUGUUUUCAAAGAUGAUAUAAAUUAUUUCACGCGCAGAAACGAUAGUUGAUAAAUCUGUUGAUGAGAUUGUUAUACCAUUUGUUUAUACCAUUUGAUGAGAAACGAUACCAUUUGUUAACAAGAAAUUUCAAGUAAGAGGAUACAUUAUUUUGACAAUCUUUACCUCUAGUUCGAGUACUCCAAACCAGAUGUAGGCCGUUAAUUCAUAUAUAGACAUGCAUGCAUGUAAUAUGAGACAAAUGAUUAUUGCUACAACUAUAAAUAAAUUAAUAUAACUUGACUAUCGAAUAGACGUAGGAAAUAGCUACCGGUUUCAUAUUUAUUUGGGUGCUUAAUUUUUAGAGUAAUUUUAAAAUAAGAGAAUUCUUCAUUUUACUAAAAUAAGGAACCAUAAAAAAGAUCUAAAUUUUAAUUUUUUUAAACUUUUCCUUUAUUUAAAUAAAAUAAAAUAAAAAGUUUAUGACUUAGAAAAUGACUAUUAUCUUGUUCGCUUCGGAGCAGAGGAGGAUGUGGAAUUUGCUCUCACGCAAGGCCCUUGGACUAUCUUUGGGCAUUACUUAACUGUUCAAAAGUGGUCUCCAUCCUUUGAUUGCUUAUCCGAUAAGAUUGAAACCAUAGUGGCGUGGAUCAGACUUCCAGGCAUGCCAUUGCAUUACUAUCAUAAAAGGGUCCUUCGAAUCCUGGGGGAAGUGGUUGGUCGUGUUAUAAGGAUAGAUUACAAUACGGAGGCUGCAAAACGUGGAAAAUUUGCUCGAGUUGCUGUUGAAAUCUGUUUGAAUAAGCCUUUAGUCUCACAAUUUCAGUUGAAUGGCAAGAUUCAAAGGAUUGAAUAUGAGGGGCUCCCCACUAUAUGUUUUGAGUGUGGCAAGUAUGGGCACACAACUGAUACCUGUCAAAGCAAACAGGGGGUGCCGAGAGGGCAAGGCUGCGACGGAGUAUAUCAACCGGAGGGUGAAGCGACGGGAGUAACGAUGGAUCUUGCAACCGUUGAUAACCCGAAUAAUUCGCUUUUUGGUCCUUCGAUGAUUGUUGCUAAAAAAAGGAAGGCCACGGAAGGCUAAGGAAUGUACGAUCCAAGGAAAUUAUAAUCAAGCCCAGAAUGGUAAUGUUCGAUCUGGUUCCCGUUUUUCGCUCCUCAAUGCUAAAGAUAAUAUGGAUAAUGAGCGCAAAAUCAAUGAAAGGAUUCCUAGCAAUCAUGCACUUGAGAUCAGCCUGGACUUGCAAGAUGAAAACCAAAAUAGCAAUCAGCCCAUGCAACAUAACCAUAGAUAUUCCUUACGUAAACACAAUCAAAGGUCAAACCGUGGCAACGUUGCUCAUCCUCCCAGCCCUAGCCUGGUCCAGUUACGUCCCCGCCCUCCCCAUGCAAACCAUGCAGACCAAAACAAACUCUUAUCACCAGACAUACACAAUAUUAACCCAGCCCUUGCCACAUUACAGAAUCAGUCAGCCACUACCAGAGCCAACCAACCCCACCUCGCAAGUACUUCCAUUGAUCCUCUUAAACAUUCGGUGUACUCCUUUGCUAAUCCCCCUGAUGGUGCGGACAUGCUGACUCAGUUUGCUAGAGCGAACCCUCUUUUUGCCAAUAUGACAAAGGAUAAUAGUAACAAUCCCAUGGGUGAACCACCUGAUAAUGGGGGAUGGAAUGGGAUUGGUGAAGAUGAGGAAUCGGAAGGAAGCACUUAUGUGGCUCGAUGUGGUGUUGACGAGUCCUGAGAUGAUUCAGAAUCUGAAGGGUCUCUAGAGGAAGAGACAGAUAUGGAGUUGGAGCUUCAAGCUCACACCCUUCGUCAGUAAGGGUUUUGGUUCUUUUCUCCAAUCUUUUUGUUUAAUGAUUUUUUCCAUUAUGUUUUAGAAUUGCCAAGGUGCACUUGCCCCUGAAUUUCAAAGGACUUUCAAAGCCCUUAUUCAGAAGUAUAAUCCUUCCAUGGUUGCAUUGUUUGAACCAAGGAUAAGUGGGAAAAAGGCUGAUGAGUUUAUUUUUCGAAGUGGAUUUGAGCGGUCGCAUAGAAUUGAGGCCGAAGGUUUCUCCGGAGGUAUUUGGUUAAUGUGGAAAGACUGUGUUAAAGUGGAGGUGAUCAUAAACCAUAAGCAGUUCAUUCAUUUUCGUAUUGCUAAUGAUAUUGGUUUCAUCUCUUGGGUUACUGCAGUUUAUGCAAGUCCAAAUAAACAUAUUAGGAACCUUCUAUGGAAGGACCUUGAAGCAGUGGCUCGUAAUGUGCCGGGACCUUGGCUCCUUGGAGGUGAUUUUAAUACUAUUUUACAUCCCUCAGAGAGGAGAGGUGGUUCGACUCGCUUAAAUGGUGUUUGUCAGCGGUUUAGUGAUUGGUUUCAUCGGAAUCAGUUUUGUGAUCUUGAAUUCAGUGGGCCGAAAUUCACUUGGGAGAGAGGAAACUUGCUGAAGCGCCUAGAUAGAAGUUUUUGUAAUGAUGAGUGGGUUCAGAAAUUUGUAAAUUCCCAAGUCAUGCACUUGCCUAAACUCAACUCGGACCAUCGCCCUAUUCUAGUUAAUUUUGAGAGGGUAAGUCGGCAAGUUAGUGGUGUUAAGCCAUUCCGCUUCUUGGCGUCUUGGCUCACUGACAGCAGGUUUAAAACCUUUUUUUUUGAGACGUGGCGAGGGAGUGGAGAUUAUGUGAACUCGGCUGGCCAUUUUAUUACGGAGGUGCGGAAAUGGAACAAGGAGGUCUUUGGGUACAUACACAAACAGAAAAAUAAUAUCUUAGCAAGAUUGGCCGGAAUUCAACGUGCUCUAGAGUGGCACAGAUCUAGAAACCUGAUGGAUCUAGAGAUGAACCUAAAGAGGGAAUUGGAGAGUAUUUUGAGUCAGGAGGAGAUUUUGUGGUAUAAAAAAUCUAGGCGUGAUUGGAUUGAGUUUGGGGAUCGAAAUACUAAGUAUUUUCAUCGCCAGACAAUCAAGAGGAGAAGACAGAACCAAAUAGUGAUGCUUAAUGAUGAGCAUGACAAUUGGAUUGAGGAUGUGGAUAUUAUCAAGCUCAUGCUGUAACAUUUUUUAAGAAUCUUUAUACAAAAGAGCCUGGGGAGCAUAUCCCUUACCCUCUGGUGAGUAUAUUUCCUAGAGUUGAUGAGAUUAAUAUUGGCAAACUUAAUGCGGGAGUAUGUGAGGACAAAAUUAGGGAGGUAAUUUUUAGUAUGCAUCAUUUUAAGGCUCCGGGGAUUGAUGGCCUGUAUGCUAUAUUUUAUCAGACACAAUGGGAUACUGUGGGAAGUUCGGUUUGUAAUUUGGUGCAGGGGAUUUUUAAUGGACAGCGAAUUCCUAGUGAGAUUAAUAAAACUCUAAUUGUGCUUAUUCCGAAAGUUGAGCAUCCGGAUAGCCUCCGAUUAUAUCGACCUAUAAGUCUGUGUCCUGUCAUAUACAAAGCAAUUACGAAGAUUAUGGCGAAUAGACUAAAGGGCAUUCUCCCUGACUUGAUAGGGCCAAUGCAGACUAGUUUUGUCCCUGGAAGGCACAUAAGGGAGAAUAUUAUUAUUGCCCAGGAAAUUAUUUAUACCAUGCGUCGGAAGUCAGGAAAGAUUGGCCAGAUACUAAUUAAAGUGGAUCUGGAGAAAGCUUAUGAUAGACUAAGUUAGGAUUUCAUCUUUGAAACUCUAUGUGAAGCGGGGCUUCCGUAAAAUCUUAUCCAUAUCACAAUGGAUUGUAUCACUUCAGCCUCUAUGCAGAUUUUGUGGAACGGGGAAUGUACUGAGGAUUUUGUUCCAUCACGGGGGAUUAGACAAGGAGACCCUAUUUCUCCAUAUAUUUUUGUCCUUUGUAUCGAGAGACUUAGCCACAGAAUUCUUCGUGCGGUUAAUACUGGCACUUGGAGGCCAAUUCGACUUUCUAAGCGAGGUACCCCUAUCACUCAUGUAUUUUUUGCUGAUGAUUUAUUACUUUUUGCUGAAGCUUCUUGCAAUCAAGCUGCUAUGAUCAAUGAUGUUCUUAAUACGUUCUGCGUGAGCUCGGAGGCGAAGGUCAGUAAACAGAAGUCUCAAGUUUUCUUUUCUAAGAAUGUUAAACCGUGUAAUGUGCGUAAUAUUGGCACAACUCUUGGGUUCUCUAUGACUACGGAUUUGGGUAAUUAUUUGGGUAUGCUGGUUUUGCACUCGAGGGUUAGUAAAGCAACAUAUCAUGGCAUAUUAGAGAAUGUGGAGCGUAAACUAAAUGGUUGGAGUGCUAAACAUUUAUCUCUUGCUGGUAGAGUCACUCUCACACAGACUGUGCUGCAGGCGUUGUCGAUUUUUUCAAUGCAAACAACGAGACUACCUACAGCGAUUAUAACUAAACUUAAGCAUCAAUGCCGUAGAUUUAUUUGGAGUGGAAACUCGGAGGUUCAAAAGAUUCAUCUGAUUAAUUGGGCUGAGGUGUGUCGUUCGAAACUAUCAGGAGGUCUGGGAUUGAAGAAUUUAACGAUUAUGAAUGAAGCACUAUUAAUGAAACUUGGUUGGAGCUUGCUAGUCAAUAGUAAUAGCUACUGGGCACAGGUUCUCUGCUCGAAGUAUGGCUUUGAUCCUACCACUAUGUCAACUUCCUUGCCUACAAAAUAUGGCUCAUAUUUGUGGAAGGCUAUUGGUCGGGUUUGGCCAAAGGUUUUGCAGGGGCUACGAUGGAAUGUGAGGGACGGUAAGCGGAUUCGUUUUUGGCAGAAUGCUUGGGUUGCGGAUGUUGGGCCAUUCUUUCAUCUUGCCGUGGCUCCUAUUCCUGAAGCUAUUUUACAUGAUUGGGUAGCUGAUGCCAUUAGUUUUGAUGGUUCAUGGAAUUGGAGCCGUUUUGGUUUUCUUCUCCCUCAUAAUGUGGUCUUAAUGAUUGCAGCUAUUACGCCUCCUACCCCGGUUAGUAAGGCUGAUCAGUUUUAUUGGGGAUCAUCAAAUUCGGGAAUGUUCACGGCAAGAACAGCUUUUAACUCGAUUCUUGGAAACUUUGCUCAGGACGAGGAGGUGAGAUGGAAGAGUAUCUGGAAAUGGAGAGGGCCUCACAGAAUCCGGACUUUCCUUUGGCUUACUGCAAAGGAAAGAAUUAAAUGCAAAGCCGAGCUUUAUAGAAGACAUAUUGGGGUGGAUAUGAUAUGCAUGCGAUGUGGUUAUGCUGUAGAGGAUACGGCUCAUGCCCUUCGUGACUGUGUCACAUCUAGGAGAAUCUGGAAUAUGUUGUUAGCAGGUCAUAAGAGUGGUUCUUUCUUCACGUUGCCAACCCGUGAUUGGAUGUUCGCCAAUAUUCAAGGUAUGGGUAAUCAUGGUAGUAAUCGAGAAUGGAGUUGCAUAUUCGGAGUAGCCAUCUGGUGUAUAUGGGUGGCAAGGAAUCAAUUGCUUUUUGAAAAUAAAGUUGUGAAUGCGGAAAGCAUGGUUCGGGAUAUCAAGAUACGAGCUGAGGAGAUACUUCGUACUUCUGAGGCUUUUCAAAGUGAUAGCGGGCUGAGAGUUCAAGAUAUGUUUGGUUGGUUGCCUCCUCGAUGGCCGUAUUAUAAAUUAAACUCUGAUGGUGCAAGGAAGGGAUCCGGUUUGGCGGGUGCAGGGGGUUUAAUUAGAGAUGCUACUGGUAGAUGGCAUGGUGGCUUCUGCAUGAAUAUUGGUAUUUGUUCGGUAACAAUUGCAGAGUUUUGGGGUUUGUAUCAGGGACUGAUAUUGACUUGGAAAAUGGGUAUAAGAUUGUUGGUGGUGGAGAUAGAUAGCAUCUAUGUUACUCAGUUGCUAAACAGGAAAAGUCUUAAUGCUACCUUGCCUCUUGUUAAUGAUAUUCUUGGUCUUCUCUCCCGUGAGUGGUAGGUGUCUGUUCAUCAUGUUUAUCGCGAAGCUAAUUUCGCGGCAGAUUUCAUGGCUAGCCAUGCACUUACUCUCCCUCUUGGCAUUCACUAUUUUACUAUCCCUCCACUGGGCGUCAAGACCUGGCUUCGGAAUGCUGGGUUAGGAACUGCGUUUCCUCGUGCUUGUAAGCCUUAGCUUUUGCUGGGGUCCUUUGUUUUAGCAAAAAAUAAAAUAUUCUUUUAUCAUAAAAUUACUGUGUAUGAGUAUAUCGUCCAUUUAUUCGUUUGGAGAAUCGGAAGUCGUAUUUCAUACGUUCAACAGAAAGAGAAAUUUUUAGAAGAUGACAAAGAAAUGAGCCCAAUCAAGACCUUAAAAGGACUUUCAUAUCUUCCCAUCUUAUUGUCAAACAAAUGAAGUCUUCAGGAUAUUACUUUCAAAAUGGACAUGUAGCCAAAAGCUCUCAAUUUUCUUCUCCAAUUGCCUUCUUCUUUAAGCUGCGCGACAGGAUUAAUUUGGCGUAAGAGUUGGACACGUAUUUAAUCCUGCAGGUACUGACACUCCUUCAAUAUCCUUCUAAAACCCCAUUUUUGAAUUAAUUAAUUGAUCAUUGACGAAAAUCACAUAAAUGUACAAGUUUUAACUAAAACCGACGCAUACUUCUUACUGGAAUUCUUCUCGUCCGCACAAUGUUCGGCUUCCCAUCCACACAAAUCGUAAACACCAUUCUCUGCUUUAAGAUUUCUUGUGAUAAGUUCUAAAUAAUGUAAAACAAUAAUAAAAUUUAUGAAUAUAUGGGCUGGAGUGCAGGAAAAUCAUAAUAUAACGAGAAUAGCUGUCAUUGUAGUAUUUGUCCUUUUAUGUAAAUCUGGGUAAAGAUUGAAUUUUAAAUGCAAAAAUGGUGUUGUUUUAUAAAAAUUUUGGAGUUAGUGGCAAAUAGCAGAAAACAUAAGUUGGAGUAUCUACAUUAGAAAUAGGCCAGCGAUAUAAAGUUACUUUGCCUCAUAAAUAGAGUCGGCCUCUAAAAACAUUACUAAAAGGUUCUUUACGUGAAAUUUUAUUAUUUAUUUAAAAAAUCACAUCAUCUAUCAUUUUAAAACUCAUUUUAGAAUUAUACUUCUUCUAAUACUGAAAAGUAACAACACCCUUUAUUUCUAAACUAUUUAAUUUUUUUUCUACAGUUUUUAGUUGUUUUUUCACUCUAAAAAUUCUUCGAAAAAAAUAAAUAAAUUAAAAUCUUCUUCCCUCACCCUUCACAUAAAUAACUUUAUGGGUGAUAAAUUUUUUAAAGCAUUGUUAUCCUUAUUCUUCUCUUCAAACUUUCUCUCUCAACAAACCUAAAAAACAAUAGUUUCACAAAAAUUAUAAAAAUUAAUCAAUAAAAUAAAGAAAAAGAGAAAUGUGUUAUUUUAAAUUUUUGUAAACCAAUUGAAUAGUUAGAGUCAAAAAUUGAAAAAAAUUAACAAAAUAGAUUAAUAAUAAAUAUUAAGAGUUUGCAUUUUGCAGCAAUAUAGAGAAAAAAAUAGUGUAAGUAAAAGAGAUGGGAUAAAAUAUAAAUUGUUCAUUAUAUUUGUGUGUGUUUAUCCUUAAAUGUCAUUUUAAUGGAAGAGAAGUUUUAUCAUUAUAUUAAAAAGGUGUUAAAAGCACCACUAUCAGAAAACAAAAAUAUUGCUUGAAAUUUUUGCAGAUAAACAUGAAGGUAUUGUUUGGUUGGGAGGAGAGGAUGGAGGAGAGGAAAGUAAUUCAAAUUCUAUUUUUAUUUCCAUUGUUUGGUUGCACAUAAUAUAUAACAAUUUAAUUUCCAUUAAAAUUUAAUAUCCCUUAUAGUGUAGAAUUUGAAAUUCACACCAAAGAGUGAAGAAUUCAAAUUCCUCUUAUGUUGAAAAUCUAAGCUUCCAAAAUUGUCCUUAAACAUUUUUACUUGUUUAAUGCUAUUAAUAAUAAUUAUUUUAUAAUAUUAUAAAUAAUUUAAUAUUAAUUAUAUUUAAUGAAUGAUCUAAGAAAUUUAAUAAAAUAAAUAAACUUAUUUAUUUAUUUAAUAUAAAAAUAUAUAAAUAUAAAUUAACUACUUCUAGAAGAAUAUAGCUAUUUUGUGAUUAUUUUAUUAUAUACAAAAAGUGUAAUCAUUUUAAAGUAUUAAAGAAAAAAAUUAUAAUUUCUUUCUCUAUUAAAUUUUAUGUCAAACCAAACAAUGAAAUUUAAUUUUACUAUUUUCUUCCACUCCUUUCUUUUCCUCUCCUCCCCUUUCUUAAAACCAAACACCAGCGAAAAAUCUUGAGAAGAGAAGCAAAUUGAGUGGGUAUUGCUGCAGUGUUCACCAAAAUUUUUGUCAGAUUCCAUCUUCUAACGCCUCUAAUUUUAGAAUUGGAUCUUCAAUAUGUUGUUUUCUAACACUUGAGGAGAGUAGCAAAACCGGUGGCUAUUGCUGCAAUGUUUGCCAAAAUUUUGACCAAAUUCUAGCAUCGAAGGCCUCUAAUUUGCAUUAGAAUUGGGUCUACAAUAUGUUGUUUCAAAACUCUUGAUAAGAGGAGCAAACACAUAUGGCUACUGCCAUAAUAUCUGUCGAAUUUUUACACUCUUGUAACUAGCGUGAGCUCAAAAUAAUUAAUAAUCACAAUCAAAAUAUAAUGAAAAAAUAUAACGGACUACUUUUAGUUAUAAUCCCACUCAUGAAAACUAAAAACUGAGUGCUAAUAUUGAUAACACAAUAAUUAGAGGUAAAGAGUUCGGGUGUCCGAUGCUGCGGCCUUCUUUUAGUUUUAUUUAAAAAAGAAUUAGAAAUAAAAAUUUAUAAUAUAAUCCACACGUAAGUUGCGUACGACGAGUUAUUUAAUUGAGUUGCUUACGGGUCAAGUCAACUCCGGUGGGUCCGCGGCAAAAAUUAUUUUUUUACCUAAUGAGCAGAUAGAAACCGGAGAAGACGUUGGGGCAAAUAAUUCAGUAGGUCCACUGGAAACUAGGGUACGUGGGGCCUGUCGCAGAGGUGCCCACAUUCACAAAGAUUUGUUAUCACUCAGUAAUCAGUUGUAGCAUACAAUAUGAAUACAUGGAAAAAUCUUACCCAUUUUUCACGGUGUGAAUUUUGUGAAGAGCAAGAAAUUUCAUGCUAUUGUAGUAAAAAAGUUGCUAGCUAUAUGCAUGUGCUUAACAAAAGUUGGAUUCGGUGCUGACUUUUCAACAAAGCCGACCAUCCUAUUGCCUGGAAUUCCUCCCUUCUCUUCUUUCUUCUUUUACCUUGCAAUUUUCUUGUCAUGUCGUGCCAAUUUAAAAUAAUAUUCGUGCAUUAUACGAUGAACCCAUGAGCGAAACCACUUUUUCAUGAGUUUACACAUAUAAAUUCGGCACAAGUGCUAUUACUUUAUUCAAGUUUCAAUUAUAUUCGGGGUAUUCAGUUACUAACUUGUUUCCAAUGAGUGUUCUACAGUUGUCAUGGCUUUUCUUGAUACCGUUGUUGACGAAUUUCGGGGGAAUCAAUACGGUUUUGGUUUCUGGCCAGUGUCAGAGUGAUCAGCAAUCCUUGUUGCUCCAAAUGAAGAGCAGCCUAGUAUUCAAUUCUUCUCUGUCUUUCCGUAUGGUGCAGUGGAGUCAAAGCACCGAUUGCUGCACCUGGUGCGGUGUGGAUUGCGAUGAGGCUGGUCGCGUCAUUGGUCUCGACUUGAGCGAGGAAUCAAUCUCCGGUAGAAUUGACAAUUCAAGUCCCCUUCUCAGUCUAAAGUAUCUGCAGAGCCUAAAUUUGGCUUUUAAUAUGUUCAAUGCCACUGAAAUUCCAUCCGGAUUGGGAAACCUCACAAAUUUGACUCAUCUGAAUCUCUCCAAUGCUGGCUUCGCGGGGCAGAUUCCAAUUCAGGUUUCAGCGAUGACAAGGUUGGUUACUCUUGAUUUGUCAAGUUCGUACUCCUUCGGAGGUCCCUUGAAACUUGAGAACCCGAAUUUAAGUGGGCUCCUUCAGAACCUCGCAGAGCUCAGAGCACUGUAUCUUGAUGGUGUAAAUAUAUCAGCUCCUGGAAUUGAAUGGUGUCAGGCUUUAUCAUCUUUGGUGCCUAAACUGCGUGUUUUGAGCUUGUCCAGCUGUUACCUUUCAGGCCCUAUCCAUCCUUCCCUUGCAAAACUUCAGUCACUCUCAGUGAUUUGUUUGGAUCAGAAUGAUCUGUCGUCUCCAGUUCCAGAGUUUUUGGCUGAUUUCUUUAAUUUGACGUCGUUGAACCUCAGUAGUAGUGGGUUGAACGGGACAUUCCCAGAAACGAUUUUACAGGUACACACACUUCAGACACUUGACUUAUCAGGCAACAGUUUACUUCGGGGCUCUUUGCCUGAUUUUCCCAAGAAUAGCUCUCUUCGAACCCUGAUGCUCAGUUACGCAAACUUCUCAGGUGUACUACCAGAUUCCAUAGGCAACCUUAAAAAUUUGUCGAGAUUAGAUCUUGCACGUUGCAACUUGAGUGGAUCAAUUCCCACCUCAUUGGCCAAACUCACACAACUAGUUUAUCUGGAUCUAUCAUCUAACAAAUUUGUUGGUCCAAUCCCCUCUCUACAUAUGUCCAAAAAUCUCACCCAUCUAGACCUCUCAAACAACGCUCUGCCCGGUGCGAUCUCAUCCACAGACUGGGAACACCUCUCCAAUCUUGUUUAUGUUGACUUGAGGAACAAUGCACUCAAUGGAAGCAUCCCAAGAUCUCUGUUUUCAAUUCCAAUGCUGCAGCAGCUUC